rnacentral:rRNA from 1 species
GAAAUGCGAUAAGUAAUGUGAAUUGCAGAAUUCAGUGAAUCAUCGAAUCUUUGAACGCACCUUGCGCUCCUUGGUAUUCCGAGGAGCAUGCCUGUUUGAGUGUCAUGAAAUUCUCAACCUACAAGCCUUUUCGGAGGUUCUUGUACGGCUUGGACUUGGAGGAUCAUUGUCGGCAGCGAUGUCGGCUCCUCUUAAACGCAUUAGCUAGUUCUCGCGGAACGGCUUUCGGUGUGAUAAUUGUCUACGCCGUGGUCGUACCGAGUAUAUGGACGAGCUUCUAAACCGUCACUCCUUGUGAGAGACACAUAUCUUGACAUCUGACCUCAAAUCAGGUAGGACUACCCGCUGAACUUAA